rnacentral:rRNA from 1 species
UACGUAGGGGGCUAGCGUUGUCCGGAAUCAUUGGGCGUAAAGCGCGUGUAGGCGGCCCGGUAAGUCCGCUGUGAAAGUCGGGGGCUCAACCCUCGAAUGCCGGUGGAUACUGUCGGGCUAGAGUACGGAAGAGGCGAGUGGAAUUCCUGGUGUAGCGGUGAAAUGCGCAGAUAUCAGGAGGAACACCGGUGGCGAAGGCGGGAUCCUGGGCCAGUACUGACGCUGAGGAGCGAAAGCGUGGGGAGCAAACAGG